AGUCAGGACUGGAACUCCAA
rnacentral:misc_RNA from 1 species